rnacentral:rRNA from 1 species
AGAGUUAAAAAGUGCGUGAAAUUGUUGAAAGGGAAACGUUUGACACCAGUCAUGCGGGUGGGAAAUCAAUCUUUUGGGAUGGGGAGUGUUGGAGGAAUUCCAGACCGCAAGGCUGGCCUUUGGCUCUAUCUCUGUUCCAAGUGAUGCACUUUCUCAUUUGCAGGUCAACAUCAGUUUCUUCUGCUGGACAAAACUCUAAGAGAAGGUAGCAGCUUUGGCUGUGUUAUAGCUCUGGAGCGAUACAGUGGGGGGGACUGAGGUUUUUGCAGUGUGUGCUCUCGGGCAAGGUCGACUGGGUGCUAUGUGAUCGUUCGGUGUACAAUGCUUGCAUUUUGCGCUGUGUCUUUUGCAUACUCGCUUGAAUCGACUCUUCCACGCUUAGGAUGUUGACUUAAUGGUUUUAAACGACC